GAUGAACGCUAGCUACAGGCUUAACACAUGCAAGUCGAGGGGAAACGAUAGAGAAAGCUUGCUUUUUCUAGGCGUCGACCGGCGCACGGGUGAGUAACGCGUAUCCAACCUGCCCAUCACUUGGGGAUAACCUUGCGAAAGUAAGACUAAUACCCAAUGAUAUCUCUAGAAGACAUCUGAAAGAGAUUAAAGAUUUAUCGGUGAUGGACCUGGGGAUGCGUCUGAUUAGCUUGUUGGCGGGGUAACGGCCCACCAAGGCGACGAUCAGUAGGGGUUCUGAGAGGAAGGUCCCCCACAUUGGAACUGAGACACGGUCCAAACUCCUACGGGAGGCAGCAGUGAGGAAUAUUGGUCAAUGGACGAGAGUCUGAACCAGCCAAGUAGCGUGCAGGAUGACGGCCCUAUGGGUUGUAAACUGCUUUUAUAAGGGAAUAAAGUGAGUCUCGUGAGACUUUUUGCAUGUACCUUAUGAAUAAGGACCGGCUAAUUCCGUGCCAGCAGCCG
rnacentral:rRNA from 1 species